rnacentral:tRNA from 1 species
AGGGCAGCGGCUCAAUGGUAGAGCACAUGUUUCGUAUGCGGGAAGACCUGGGUUCGAUUCCCGGCUGCUUUC